rnacentral:rRNA from 1 species
AACGAACGCUGGCGGCAUGCCUAACACAUGCAAGUCGAACGAGACCUUCGGGUCUAGUGGCGCACGGGUGCGUAACGCGUGGGAAUCUACCCUUGGGUUCGGAAUAACUCAGAGAAAUUUGAGCUAAUACCGGAUGAUGUCGCAAGACCAAAGAUUUAUCGCCCAAGGAUGAGCCCGCGUAGGAUUAGCUUGUUGGUGAGGUAAAAGCUCACCAAGGCGACGAUCCUUAGCUGGUCUGAGAGGAUGAUCAGCACACUGGGACUGAGACACGGCCCAGACUCCUACGGGAGGCAGCAGUGGGGAAUAUUAGGACAAUGGGCGAAAGCCUGAUCCAGCAAUGCCGCGUGAGUG